rnacentral:rRNA from 1 species
GUGACCUCAAAUCAGGUAGGACUACCCGCUGAACUUAAGCAUAUCAAUAAGCGGAGGAAAAGAAACUAACAAGGAUUCCCCUAGUAACUGCGAGUGAAGCGGGAAAAGCUCAAAUUUAAAAUCUGGCGGUCUUAUGGCUGUCCGAGUUGUAAUCUAGAGAAGUGUUAUCCGCGCUGGACCGUGUACAAGUCUCCUGGAAUGGAGCAUCAUAGAGGGUGAGAAUCCCGUCUUUGACAUGGACUGCCAGGGCUUUGUGAUGCGCUCUCAAAGAGUCGAGUUGUUUGGGAAUGCAGCUCAAAAUGGGUGGUAAAUUCCAUCUAAAGCUAAAUAUUGGCGAGAGACCGAUAGCGAACAAGUACCGUGAGGGAAAGAUGAAAAGAACUUGGGAAAGAGAGUUAACAGUACGUGAAAUUGCUGAAGGGGA